rnacentral:snRNA from 1 species
GCGCUCACUCCAACAGCACAUACACUAAAAUUGGAACUAUACAGAGAUUAGCGUGCCCCCCGAGCAAGGAUAAAUUCAUGAAGCAUUCCAUAUUUUC